GGCGAACGCUGGCGGCGUGCUUAACACAUGCAAGUCGAACGGAAAGGCCCUGCUUGCCGGGUACUCGAGUGGCGAACGGGUGAGUAACACGUGGGUGAUCUGCCCUGCACUUCGGGAUAAGCCUGGGAAACUGGGUCUAAUACCGGAUAGGAGCCAUUUUUAGUGUGAUGGUUGGAAAGUUUUUUCGGUGUAGGAUGAGCUCGCGGCCUAUCAGCUUGUUGGUGGGGUAAUGGCCUACCAAGGCGGCGACGGGUAGCCGGCCUGAGAGGGUGGACGGCCACAUUGGGACUGAGAUACGGCCCAGACUCCUACGGGAGGCAGCAGUGGGGAAUAUUGCACAAUGGGCGCAAGCCUGAUGCAGCGACGCCGCGUGGGGGAUGACGGCCUUCGGGUUGUAAACUCCUUUCGCUAGGGACGAAGCUUUUUGUGACGGUACCUAGAUAAGAAGCACCGGCUAACUACGUG
rnacentral:rRNA from 1 species